rnacentral:lncRNA from 10 species
UGUCACACCAUGCACAGUUUAUGGUGAUAGAACUCUUGCAACUUUCUCCUUCUCUACUCUCUCCUAUUUGCCAGAUUAUAAACAUUUCUUCUACAUGCAAAGAUCCUCUGACUCCCCAAUUGUAGUUGAUACUUAUCUUCUUUUACCUGGAUAUUUAUGGUGUCUCCUAAAGAUAAGCUAUGAUGUUGUAUUUUGCCAAAGGUGUUCACCUCCCUUGAAUGUGAAUUUCUCCAGCAUAAUUCUUUAGUAUUUCAAACGCAAAUGAGAGUUAUCUGAAAAAUAAUCUGCAAGACACCUCCCCUCAUUCUGAGGCUUUCCUCUUUUCAUGUGUUAAUGGAUUGAUACAUUUGUUGUGGAAGGUAAGGAAAUAGAUGUUUCUUCAUACUACUCGGCCCCCACCUAAAAUCAUGAGGGUCUCCAAAACUCCACCUACCUACGGCAGCAACCCUGGAUAAAUAUUACCAGGAGUCUCAAUUGUCCACAUGUGCAAUGUUUGAUGUAUACACUUUAUAUCAUAAUUAAUAGGUACAUAAGUAUAAAAUGUUACACAAUACAGUCAGUGAAGCAAAACGUUCACUCUUAAAAUUCAAACUUUGAGAUAUUAGAAAUGGGAAAACUGAACGAGCUUUUGCCAUGUUUCUUUCAGUACAAGUUCUCUAUUACGCAGAAUUAUUUUAGUUGCUGGUGUCAGAAACCCAAUUCUGUGGUUUGCAGAAGAAUUUUCUUUAUAAAAUUGAAGUUUUAAGGGACGUCAGUGUUUAUGCCAUUUUUCCAGUUCCAAAAUGAUUCCAUUCCAUUCUAGAAAUUUGAAGUAUGUAACCUGAAAUCCUUAAUAAAAUUUGGAUUUAAUUUUAUAAAAUGUAAAAAAAAAAAAAAAAAAAAAACGAAAUCUACUCGCUUGUAAAACUGGGAAAGGUCAGGGGUAAUGUGGGCCUCAGGCACCAUGAAUUAAAUGAACAACUAUGGUGUUAUUUGAAUUCAUUCACCUCCUGACUGUUUUUCUCUGCAGGGCAGCUGACAACCUCGGCAAGGCAGAAGUCACCAUGAAAGCUUCCUUUUCUCAAGUAUUUACCAUUCAAAACUUUAGGGAAAUUCAUUAACAUAAAUUGGCAAUGAUAUUAGAUGAUUUAAUUUUGAAGGCAAAUAAAAGGUUUUUGGAGGAUACUGUUGCAUUGCUGCUAGGAAUAUAAAUUGGUCUAACCACUUUGUAAAACUAUUAGGCAGUAUUUACUAAAGCAAAAUAUACAUGUGGUCUAUGGCCCAGCAAUUCCACUUCUGGGUAUGUUCCCAAAAGAACUGAAUGCUUGUGUUUAUAAAAAGAUAUGUGCAAGAAUAGUCAUAGCAGCAUUAUACAUAACAGUCUCCAAAUGGAAACGAACCAAUUAUCUACUAAUAAUAAAAUGAAUAAAUUGUGUUAUAUCCAUA